rnacentral:rRNA from 1 species
UACGUAUGGUGCAAGCGUUAUCCGGAUUUACUGGGCGUAAAGGGAGCGCAGGCGGCUCGCCAAGUCUGAUGUGAAACCCCGGGGCUCAACCCCGGGCAUGCAUUGGAAACUGGCGGGCUGGAGUGCCGGAGAGGUAAGCGGAAUUCCUAGUGUAGCGGUGAAAUGCGUAGAUAUUAGGAGGAACACCAGUGGCGAAGGCGGCUUACUGGACGGCAACUGACGCCGAGGCUCGAAAGCGUGGGGAGCAAACAGG